rnacentral:rRNA from 1 species
AAUGAACGCUGGCGGCAGGCCUAACACAUGCAAGUCGAGCGGACGAACGGAGCUUGCUCCUGUAUUCAGCGGCGGACGGGCGAGUAAUGCAUAGGAAUCUGCCUGGCAGUGGGGGAUAACGUAAGGACACGGGAGCUAAUACCGCAUACGAUCUGAGGGAGAAAGUGGGGGUUCAUCAGACAAAACGGUAUCUGAUGAGCCUAGGACGGAUUAGCUAGUUGGUGGGGUAAAGGCUUACCAAGGCGACGAUCCGUAACUGGUCUGAGAGGAUGAUCAGUCACACUGGAACUGAGACACGGUCCAGACUCCUACGGGAGGCAGCAGUGGGGAAUAUUGGACAAUGGGCGAAAGCCUGAUCCAGCCAUGCCGCGUGUGUGAAGAAGGUCUUCGGAUUGUAAAGCACUUUAAGUUGGGAGGAAGGGCAGUAAGUGAAUACCUUGCUGUUUUGACGUUACCAACAGAGUAAGCACCGGCUAACUUCGUG